UGUUGGUUCCCUGGAAGCCGUUUUCUGGUGACGAGUACGAAACUCCCUCACCUUUUGUGAGAAGGGGUCCGCCUUUUUGACCAAACAUUUCACUUUCGAAGUAAACGUGAAGGACUUCUGACGGGUUCGGGAGGCCGCCGCGUUCCGCUCCCCUCAGAGGCCCCGCCAGGUUCCGCGGGACGAGGUUCACCUGGCUCAGGGCUCGCGGGCGUGUGCCGGGAGCCUCAAAGAAUGCAAGGGAUGGAAGCAGGAGGGAGAAGGACAGAGAAGAAGACAGAAAGAGAGACAGUGAUCGAUGUGAGAGUGACACAUCAAUUGAUAGCCUCCCACAUACACCCCAGUAGGGGCUGCGGAUCAAACCCACAACCCAGAACAGUCCACUUAAAGGAGUCAGUCCAGGACAAAAACUGGCCACUCUUUGGCAUUGGGUCCAGUAUGCAGAGCUGGUGCAUGGGAAGGUGGAAGCUUCUCAGUGGCAAGGACGAUAUCUUCAUACGUGGUCAGUGUCUGCUGCCAAGGGCUUUGGAGUGAGCUGUGAUGGUAGAGAAUCUGAAUCUGCUCUCUUGGCUGAACCACCCUGCAGGGACUCCACUCUGCCAAAGUCCACGAGGGGCUGCUCCGAGUCUAAGGGUUUGCCUGAGACUUGGUGCACAACAAAAAGCAUGAGCCUCCUGAGCAAGAGGCUUGAGUGAGCUAUUGCCACAAGCACUCCAACCUCUUAAGAGACGCUGCAGAGGCACCCAGUGCAUCGCCCCAGGAAGAACUCAGGAGGAAGAAGCCAAACACGCUGUGAUGAAGGGCUGUGUCCACAGAAAGGCACCGCUAAGCAAGAAUUUAGGGCCUGAGGAGCCUUCAGCACGGAGAAUCUUCACUGAGCAGGUCACUGAGCUCCGCUAACCACGCCAACACUUGGUGGUGAAGUCCCGGACGCAGGCACCUGCGAUAUCAGGCCCUUUCCCUCCUCUGAUCUCACUGUUGCAGUGAUUGGAACCUGUUAUUUACAAUGCUGCCCACCAGCAUGCUGUGCCUUUCAUGACGGAGAGCAGUCACUAAAGGAGACAUUUGUGUCUAGGUAGUAUUCUUACUCAAGGAUUCUGAUAUUGCUGUGACACUGUCUUUCCUUUGGGGAUUAGGUUUCUUCAAAGAGCCACUCAGCAUUCUGCUUGCUGGGGGACAUUUUCCUCUCUGAAUCAUAAACAGUCCCUGAAAGCAACAGGAAGGUCUCAGGGAACUCAGCAUUUAAAAACAAAUUAAUAUAAAUGUAAUAUUUUAGUUAGAAACCUCUACUUUUACCAAAAUGAUUCUAAUAGAACUCAGUCCUCUAAAUAACCAACAGCCCUGUGAUGGGUUUUGAUGGCAUGUGUUUCAUGUUGAGGACUGGAAAGGGGGCAUCUUUCAGACCCUUGGAGCCCUCAGCCAUUUCUCUAGAUGCCCAGCCGCCGCAUUCCCCCUUCCCCCCAUCUCAGUCCACAGGACCUGGAAAUUAUAAGUAUGUGCAUACCAACUCAUGCCUUGAGUAUCAAUGGGAUUUGGAAAGUACAGAGAAGUAGAGAAACAUCAAGGAAAAUCACCCACAAUCCCAGCACCAGAGAGCCAGUGACACACCUGACUACGGGCACUGAAACCCAGUUCACAGAGCCGCCAGGAAUUCGUGACAGCCCGGGAGCCGCCACAGCUGGACACUGAUGGAGACUUGGAUGGGAGCCAGAGCGAAGUCCUGCUCCUUCUCGCAGGCCUGCAGCUGGACCAGCACCUGGUGGAGCUGAGCGAGAGCGAACACGUGGACCAGAGAAAACUCUCCCGUGCUCUUCAGGGUUGCUGCUUCCUCCAGAAGCCCUCGUACCCAUGGCUGUCAUCCUGAGGCUUGUGGAGACCUUGUAGCCAGUAGGAAGAUGAGAAGCUCUGAGAGUCCGCAUCCUCCCGAUACCUGAAGCAGAUCUACACUUCCUUAAUAGGAAGCACAUUUUUAAAAACCUGCUAAGUGGUUCCUUGAAAUAGAGCUGUUUGGGAUCACUGCCGUGCCUUAGUGGCUAUUUUGUUUCAAGUGGAGUUCAUACUUUGAUCUGAGAAUAAUACUGGAGCACCUGUAGCCAGGCUGGCCCCACACCUGCUGGCUUCGGGAAGGCGGCUGUUUAACACUUGUCAGUUAGCAGGAAAAACGGGUGGGAUGACAAGGUGCAGGAGGCCACUGAAUGGAGAGUUCAGAAAAUGCCCUGUGAUUACAGGUGACAGCAGCCCCUUGAGUGUCCUCUGAAGGCCCUUAAGCUCUUGGGAUUCAGCGCCCCCCUGUGUCUAGCACACGCUUACUCCAGCUUUUGCCUCUUCCUUCUAAUCACAAAUGCUGAAAAAAACAAGUGGACGACUUUACUUGCAAAUCCCUCUUCAGGGCCAAGUCACCCUCUUUCUAACUCGGCAUGGCGCCCUCAAACCUGGGCUCAGCCGUCCUAGCUCGACUCACCCGGCUGAUGAGCUGCUCGCCCGUCUCCGAGGCAGUGAUGAGCUUGCAGAGGGCUUGGAGGGCAGGGUUGGGAAGACCUACACCAAGAGGAGGGAGAGGGGUGUUAUCCAGAGGGACCUCUGAGCCCACAGUCCUGCUGCCUUCCCAGAGGAAAGAGCUCAGCUUUGGUGGCCUUCAGGACAGCCAGCCCUGCACGUCCAUGUGACAGCAGAGAACGGGCUCUGAGAAAGGCAGGUUGGGGGCAAGCACCAGUCCUGACCCUACUGCAGUCCUCCAGGCGCAGGGUCACAUUUCCAGAACCCUGUCUCAGCUACUCGGGCAGCAUCACCCACUGAGUGAUGCACAAGGGCAGCCCUGAGCUUCUGCACCCCACUUCACCUGGGGAGGCUGCAUGGCUCUCAGAUCCAAAGCUGCUGAUUAAAUAUUCACAGGGGCUGCUAUUCACCCACCAUCACCUCAGGAAGAGGGAGCGCCAGGGCAGGACCCUAUGGCAAAGAAUGCCUUGCCAUUGCAAAUCAAACGAUCAGGUCAAGAGCACUAGUUUCCUCUAAAUCAGAAGUCUGUGUCUGGGACUCGGCCAUUUCUCAAGACACUCUCCUUCCCAGCGGUGAGACCCAGCAUCCUGGUGAGUGCAGGGGCCACGGCCACCGACCCCUCCUGCCCCGCCCUGCCCGAGCUCACCCAGC